UACGGAGGGUGCGAGCGUUGUCCGGAAUCAUUGGGCGUAAAGGGCGCGUAGGUGGCCCGGUCAGUUCGUGGUGAAAGCGCGGGGCUCAACCCUGCGUCGGCCAUGAAUACUGCCGCGGCUGGAGCACUGUAGAGGCAGGCGGAAUUCCGGGUGUAGCGGUGGAAUGCGUAGAGAUCCGGAAGAACACCGGUGGCGAAGGCGGCCUGCUGGGCAGUUGCUGACGCUCAGGCGCGAUAGCGUGGGGAUCAAACAGG
rnacentral:rRNA from 1 species